rnacentral:rRNA from 1 species
AUUGAACGCUGGCGGCAUGCCUUACACAUGCAAGUCGAACGGUAACAGGGAGCUUGCUCCGCUGACGAGUGGCGAACGGGUGAGUAAUGUAUCGGAACGUACCUUUUAGUGGGGGAUAACGUAGCGAAAGUUACGCUAAUACCGCAUAUUCUCUGAGGAGGAAAGCAGGGGACCUUCGGGCCUUGCGCUAAUAGAGCGGCUGAUAUCAGAUUAGCUAGUUGGUGAGGUAAAGGCUCACCAAGGCGACGAUCUGUAGCGGGUCUGAGAGGAUGAUCCGCCGCACUGGAACUGAGCCACGGUCCAGACUCCUACGGGAGGCAGCAGUGGGGAAUUUUGGACAAUGGGGGCAACCCUGAUCCAGCCAUGCCGCGUGAGUGAAGAAGGCCUUCGGGUUGUAAAGCUCUUUCGGCCGGGAAAAAAUCGCAUGGGCUAAUACCCUGUGUGGAUGAUGGUACCGGAAUAAGAAGCACCGGCUAACUACGUGCCAGCCGCCGCAGUAA